AUCAGGAUGGCCGAGCAGUUUAAGGUGCUGCAUUCAGGAUGCAGUCUCUCCUGGAGGUGUGGGUUCGAAUCCUGCUUCUGACA
rnacentral:tRNA from 1 species